rnacentral:rRNA from 1 species
GUACCUACGGGACGCAGCAGUGAGGAAUAUUGGUCAAUGGCCGUAAGGCUGAACCAGCCAAGUAGCGUGAGGGAAGACUGCCCUAUGGGUUGUAAACCUCUUUUAUGCGGGGAUAAAGGUGUCCAGGUGUGGAUGUUUGCAGGUACCGCAUGAAUAAGGACCGGCUAACUCCGUGCCAGCAGCCGCGGUAAUACGGAGGAUCCGAGCGUUAUCCGGAUUUAUUGGGUUUAAAGGGAGCGUAGAUGGGUUGUUAAGUCAGCUGUGAAAGUUUGCGGCUCAACCGUAAAAUUGCAAUUGAUACUGGC